AGCAACAGCCAUAUCACUCUGCAGCCCAAGACUGGUUACCCACUGAAGCUAAGCAGGGUUGAGCCAGGGUUGAUGGGAGACCUCCUGGGGAAACUAGGUUGCUGUUGUCA
rnacentral:rRNA from 1 species